rnacentral:rRNA from 1 species
CUGGCGGCAGGCCUAACACAUGCAAGUCGAACGGUAACAGGAAGCAGCUUGCUGUUUCGCUGACGAGUGGCGGACGGGUGAGUAAUGUCUGGGAAACUGCCUGAUGGAGGGGGAUAACUACUGGAAACGGUAGCUAAUACCGCAUAACGUCGCAAGACCAAAGAGGGGGACCUUCGGGCCUCUUGCCAUCGGAUGUGCCCAGAUGGGAUUAGCUAGUAGGUGGGGUAACGGCUCACCUAGGCGACGAUCCCUAGCUGGUCUGAGAGGAUGACCAGCCACACUGGAACUGAGACACGGUCCAGACUCCUACGGGAGGCAGCAGUGGGGAAUAUUGCACAAUGGGCGCAAGCCUGAUGCAGCCAUGCCGCGUGUAUGAAGAAGGCCUUCGGGUUGUAAA